UAAUAUCAGCAGGUAAAUCUGAGCUAAACGACAGAAUCUCAGAGUGCCGCCUGGUAUUGUC
rnacentral:pre_miRNA from 1 species